rnacentral:rRNA from 1 species
GACGAACGCUGGCGGCGUGCCUAAUACAUGCAAGUAGAACGCUGAAGAGAGGAGCUUGCUCUUCUUGGAUGAGUUGCGAACGGGUGAGUAACGCGUAGGUAACCUGCCCUGUAGCGGGGGAUAACUAUUGGAAACGAUAGCUAAUACCGCAUAACAAUGGAUGACACAUGUCAUUUAUUUGAAAGGGGCAAUUGCUCCACUACAAGAUGGACCUGCGUUGUAUUAGCUAGUAGGUGAGGUAAUGGCUCACCUAGGCGACGAUACAUAGCCGACCUGAGAGGGUGAUCGGCCACACUGGGACUGAGACACGGCCCAGACUCCUACGGGAGGCAGCAGUAGGGAAUCUUCGGCAAUGGGGGCAACCCUGACCGAGCAACGCCGCGUGAGUGAAGAAGGUUUUCGGAUCGUAAAGCUCUGUUGUAAGUCAAGAACGGGUGUGAGAGUGGAAAGUUCACACUGUGACGGUAGCUUACCAGAAAGGGACGGCUAACUACGUG